rnacentral:rRNA from 1 species
CCCUUAGAUGUUCUGGGCCGCACGCGCGCUACACUGACGAAUGCAACGAGCUUAUAACCUUGGCCGAAAGGUCUGGGUAAUCUCCAAAUUUCGUCGUGAUGGGGAUAGAUUAUUGCAAUUAUUAAUCUUCAACGAGGAAUGCCUAGUAAGCGCAAGUCAUCAGCUUGCGUUGAUUACGUCCCUGCCCUUUGUACACACCGCCCGUCGCUCCUACCGAUUGAAUGGUCCGGUGAAGCGCUCGGACCGCGGCCUCUUGACGGUUUUCCGUCGAUUGGCUGUGGGAAGUUCGUUAAACCUUAUCAUUUAGAGGAGGGAGAAGUCGUAACA